rnacentral:rRNA from 1 species
AUGCACAAAAUACAAGAGUUUGGCAUAGAGUUCAACAAACUCACUGGUCAAAUUCCGGCAGUUUUGUUCAUGAGCUGGCCGGAGCUCAUAGCAUUCCAAGCGCAGCGAAACUCGUUCACUGGGAAGAUUCCGCCAGAGCUAGGCAAGGCAACCAAGCUAAAAAUAAUCUAUCUCUACAGCAACAACCUUACCGGCUCUAUUCCGGUAGAGAUUGGCGAGUUGGUGAGCCUAAGCCAGUUGGACUUGUCCGCCAACUUGCUCACAGGGCCAAUACCCAGCUCGUUCGGCAACCUCACGCAGCUCAUGAGGCUGGAGCUCUUCUUCAACCAGCUCACUGGAACGAUCCCACCGGAGAUUGGCAACAUGACAGCAUUGCAAGUCUUGGAUGUCAACACCAACCUUUUGGAAAGCGAGCUGCCCAACACCAUCACAUCACUCAGGAAUCUCCAGUACCUCAGCCUGUUCGACAACAACUUUGGGGGCAACCUACCCGCUGACCUCGGUAAGGGGCUGAGCUUGAUCGACGUGAGCUUCGCGAAGAACAGCUUCUCCGGAGAACUGCCGCAGAGUCUGUGUGAUGGCCUCAUGGUAGAGAAUUUCAUGGUGAACCAUAACAACUUCAGCGGCUCGCUACCGCUGUGCCUCAAGAACUGCACAUCCCUAUUCUGUUUGAGAUUGGACCAGAACCAAUUCACUGGGGACAUCUCAAAGGUGUUUAGUGUCCAUCCCAUCUUGGACUUCUUGGAUGUUUCGGGGAAUCAGCUGACAGGGAACCUGUCGCAUGAUUGGUCACAAUGCACCAAUCUAACAAUUCUAUCCAUGGACAACAAUCGCCUGUCUGGAAACAUUCCUGCAGCCUUGUGUGGAUUGACCUCUCUCCAGUUACUGGAUCUAUCAAGUAACCACUUCACUGGUGAGCUCCCAAGUUGCUGGCGGGAACUACAAGCAGUGGUAUUUAUGGAUGUAUCCAGCAAUGGGUUCUGGGGUAAAUUACCUAUCUCGACAAGCUUGAGUGACUUCCCUCUCCAAUCACUCCAUCUUGCUAACAAUAGCUUCUCUGGGGAUUUCCCAUCUGUCAUUGAAACCUGUUGCCGUAAGCUCAUCACACUAGAUCUUGGGAACAACAUGUUCUUCGGUGUUAUUCCUGCUUGGAUUGGAAAAAGUGUUCCCCUUCUACGAGUUCUGAGCCUCCCAUCCAACAAUUUUAGUGGUGUCAUUCCAUUCGAGAUAUCCCAGCUUUCUAAUCUGCAAGUACUUGACAUGUCAAACAACAGCUUUACUGGAUUCAUCCCAAGUACAUUCGGCAACUUAUCAUCCAUGAUGGAACAACUCUCGUCUUGGAGAACAACAUCUUCUGAAAAGCAUGAUGUUGUCCAACUGAGACGGAUUUCUAUUUUUUCUAGAAGGACUAUGCCACCUGAUAGCUUGUCGUCAGUGGACGAGUACCGAGAGAGAGUUAACAUUUUCUGGAAGGGUCGUGAGCAAACUUUUCAGAAAACAAUUGAACUAAUGACAGGCAUCGAUUUAUCAAGCAAUCUGCUCGCAGGCGACAUCCCCAACGAGCUAACAUACCUUCAAGGUCUCCGAUUCUUGAACUUGUCAAGAAAUGAUCUGUCGGAUAGUAUUCCACCAAGCAUUGGAAGUUUGGGGCUCCUGGAGUUCCUUGACCUCUCAUGGAACGAACUUUCAGGUCCUAUCCCACCCAGCAUCUCAAAUUUGCCGUACCUCAGUGUGUUAAAUCUCUCCAACAACCGUUUAACAGGCUCCAUUCCGACGGGGAGUCAGCUACAGACACUUGUAGACCCAUCAAUUUACGGCAACAAUCUGGGGCUUUGUGGCUUCCCGUUGAGCGCACAUUGUCUGGGUGAGGGAACUGAUCAAGACCACACGCAGCAACUCGGAAGCGAUGUGGGGUUGUGUUACUCUGUAAUUCUUGGCGUUGUUUUUGGUUUUUGGCUUUGGUUUGGAGCUCUGUUUUUCCUCGAGCCAUGGAGGGUUUCCUUCUCUCGUUUUCUUGAUAAGUUGUGCAGUAAGUAA